GAUGAACGCUAGCGACAGGCCUAACACAUGCAAGUCGAGGGGCAGCACGAAGUAAGCUUGCUUACUUUGGUGGCGACCGGCGCACGGGUGCGUAACAGGUGUGCAAUCUGUCCAUAAUCGGGGAAUAGCCCAGCGAAAGUUGGAUUAAUGCUCCAUGUGAGUUUUAGAGGCAUCUCUUUAAUUAGAAACGUAAGGAUUAUGGGUGAGCACGCUUCUGAUCAGGUAGUUGGUGAGGUAACGGAUCACCAAGCCGACGAUCAGUAGGGGUGCUGAGAGGAAGGUCCCCCACAUUGGAACUGAGACACGGUCCAAACUCCUACGGGAGGCAGCAGUGAGGAAUAUUGGUCAAUGGACGGAAGUCUGAACCAGCCAAGUCGCGUGAAGGAUGAAGGUUCUAUGGAUUGUAAACUUCUUUUGUCUGAGGGUAAAACAGUGGACGUGUCCACUCUUGCGAGUAUCAGACGAAUAAGCAUCGGCUAACUCCGUGCCAGCAGCCGCAGUAACAC
rnacentral:rRNA from 1 species